rnacentral:rRNA from 1 species
GACGAACCGUGCGAACGUUAUUCGGAAUCACUGGGCUUAAAGCGCGUGUAGGCGGGUGGGAACGUCGGCCGCUGAAAUCCCCGGCUCAACCGGGGAAGGGCGCCGAAACGGCCCGCCUGGAGGGACGUAGGGGAGCUGGAACUUCCGGUGGAGCGGUGAAAUGCGUUGAGAUCGGAAGGAACGCCCGUGGCGAAAGCGAGCUCCUGGACGUUUCUGACGCUGAGACGCGAAAGCCAGGGAGCGAACGGG